GCAUAACGCGAAGAACCUUACCGGGGCUUGACAUCUUUCUGACCGCCUGGGAAACCAGGUCUUCUUCCUUCGGGAAGACGGAAAGACAGGUGGUGCAUGGUUGUCGUCAGCUCGUGUUGUGAGAUGUUGGGUUAAGUCCCACAACGAGCGCAACCCUUGUCCUUAUUUGCCAGCCUGUUUACAGGCGUACUUUAAGGAGACUGCCGUAGAUAAUACGGAGGAAGGUGGGGAUGACGUCAAAUCCUCAUGCCCCUUACGUCCCGGGCUACACACGUGCUACAAUGGUCUGUACAGAGGGUAGCCAAGAAGCAAUUCGGAGCCAAUCCCAAAAAGCAGGCCCCAGUUCGGAUUGGAGGCUGCAACUCGCCUCCAUGAAGUCGGAAUCGCUAGUAAUCGCGGAUCAGCAUGCCGCGGUGAAUCCGUUCCCGGGUCUUGUACACACCG
rnacentral:rRNA from 1 species